GACGAACGCUGGCGGCGUGCUUAACACAUGCAAGUCGAACGGGCCUUGUCCCCUUUUUUUUUGGGGGUGGGGUUAGUGGCGAACGGGUGAGUAACACGUGAGUAACCUGCCCCUCACUUCUGGAUAACCGCUUGAAAGGGUGGCUAAUACGGGGUGUUCUGGCCUGCUCGCAUGGGUGGGUUUGGAAAGAUUCGACCGGUUUUGGUUGUUUUGGUGGGGGAUGGGCUCGCGGCCCAUCAGCUUGUUGGUGGGGUGAUGGCCUGCCAAGGCUUUGACGGGUAGCCGGCCUGAGAGGGUGGGCGGUCACACUGGGACUGAGACACGGCCCAGACUCCUACGGGAGGCAGCAGUGGGGAAUAUUGCACAAUGGGCGCAAGCCUGAUGCAGCGACGCCGCGUGAGGGAUGGAGGCCUUCGGGUUGUGAACCUCUUUCGCCAGUGAAGAAGGUCCUGCUCUUUGUGGUGGGGUUGACGGUAGCUGGGUUAAUGAAGCGCCGGCUAACUACGUG
rnacentral:rRNA from 1 species